rnacentral:lncRNA from 1 species
UGUGAUGCUGUGUGGUUUCUGUCACGUACACACACACAGGCACACUCAUGCACACACCCCCUACCUCCCUGCCUACAUUCCACCCAGCCUGACUGCUCUGGAAGGAAGAAUCCCUGCAAGGUGAGUGUUAUUAUAUCCAUUUGUGGACCAGGACUGCGGCUCAGAAGCUUUUCCCAGGACACUGAACUCUGACAGGUGAAUAGCUGCCAAGUGGUGGAGGUUGGCCUGCAGUGAGCAUCAGUCUGACUUCGAAGGGUCUUGUUUUAUCACCUAGGCUGGAAUGCAGUGGAACCUGCUUAGCUCACUGUAGCCUUGAACUGCUGGGCUCAAGCAGUCCUCCUGUUUUGGCCUCUGAAGCAACUGGGACUACAGGUAUUGGCCUGGAGUGAUUCCAAGCUCUCCUGGAACAGGAGGUGCCCCCACUCUGGGCAUAAAUAUCUCUCCCUCAUCCCUCGCAGACAACGAUCUUUGAGUACCAUCCAGUCAUAAUAUAGACAUGGCCAAGGUAACGGAGGUAAACAGAAAACAGGAAAAAUACUAGGCUGUUUGCACUGGAACAUGGUAACCAUGAAAUGAGCAAACAUUUAAUUUUGUUCAUUGAGGUCAACGUGAAAGCUGCUGAAUCUCUUAUAACAACUUUCAGGACACUUGGUGCAUGCCAUUUUGAAACACCUCAAGCUGAGCCUGUUGUUCUGAAAUGUCAGAAUGUUCCAUUCUGGUAAACAUUCAACUUGUAUUGAGUUUUCCCUUUGUGCAGAACCCUGUGAAGUGCAGCUAAAAUGUAUAAGGGGAAUGAAAGAGGAUAAAAUGAAAACUGUGGAAGCCGUGAGUCAGUAGGCAGUGAAAACUAUCCGAGAAGGCUUUCUGCUUUUGGUUGAUUACAGACUGAAUCUAUGACCCAGGGAAAGAAGCCCACCCAUUCUUUGUACGUGUGCCUUAUUUCUGUGGUUCCCUUUUCAAUAUAAGGGGCUGCUGAGACAGUAAUUUUUACAUGUGGAGUAAGGUAAUCUCAGAACAUUCCUGUGUGAGUUUGAGGCAGCUUUGAAUCCUGGUUCCACUGCUAUUACCUCUGCAGCUUUGGGCAGGUUACUUAAUCUCUGUGAUCCUGAGUUUCACAUCUGUAAAUUGGGGGUAAUAAAAGUAUCUAUUUAGGGGUUUAUUGUAAGGACUACAAAGGAAUUAUGAAUCUAAAUUGCUUAGUGCAGCCUGGUCCAAAAAUGUUCAAUGAAUGUUAAGCUAUUAUUAUGGAAAAUUAAGUCGACUCUGGAAAAAUCAAUGAUUUAGGAUUCUUUAGUUUGCUAGUUUUGAAAAUGGCUCAAUCUAGCACAAGCAAGACGGUAUGAGCAUUCUAACACAUAAUAAAUGGAAAGCUGAG